rnacentral:rRNA from 1 species
AGAGAAAGAGGGAGGCAGGCUUAACACAUGCAAGUCGAGCGGGCACUUUCGGGUGUCAGCGGCGGACGGGUGAGUAACGCGUGGGAACGUGCCCUCUGGUUCGGAAUAACUCAGGGAAACUUGAGCUAAUACCGGAUACGCCCUUUUGGGGAAAGGCUUGCUGCCGGAGGAUCGGCCCGCGUCUGAUUAGCUAGUUGGUGAGGUAACGGCUCACCAAGGCGACGAUCAGUAGCUGGUCUGAGAGGAUGAUCAGCCACACUGGGCAUGAGACACGGCCCAGGCUCCUGGGGGAGACGGCAGUGGGGAAAAUUGAAAAAGGGGCGGAACCCUGAGCCACCCAGGCCGGGGGAGGGAUGAGGGCUUUGGGGUGGUAAAGCUCUUUUAUCCGGGACGAAAAGGAGGGGACGGGAGGAAGAAGCCCCGGAGAAAUGCGU